rnacentral:rRNA from 1 species
GAUGAACGCUGGCGGCGUGCCUAAUACAUGCAAGUCGAGCGAAGCGGGGACGGGUGAGUAACACGUGGAUAACCUCCUAUAAGACUGGGAUAACUUCGGUAAACCGGAGCUCAACCGGAUACUUAUGAAUUGAUCCGCGCUGCAUUAGCUAGUUGGUAAGGUAACGGCUUACCAAGGCAACGAUGCAUAGCCGACCUGAGAGGGGGACCGGCCACACUGGAACUGAGACACUGUCCAGACUCCUACGGGAGGCAGCAGUAGGGAAUCUUCCGCAAUGGGCGAAAGGCUGACGGAGCAACGCCGAGUGAGGAAUGAAGGUUUUCGGAUCGUAAAACUCUGUUAUUAAGGAAGCGGUACCUAAUCAGAAAGCCACGGCUAACUACGUGCCAGCAGCCGCGGUAAUUC